GUCACUCUGCAGAGCCCAUACCUGGACAAGCACUGAGGAUCUGAGAGGUAGAAAGCAAUGGAAGCAAUUCUGAAAAAGGACAUAUUGCUUGAGAAAGGAAUGGGAGAGGAAGCUGCCCCAGUAACAUGCUGGGGGUGACAGGGGUUGUUUGUUAUCAGGAAGUUGGAACAGAAAAUCAGAGGACUUCGAAGCAACAGAUUUCAUCAUAGGUUGUCUGGAUUUCUUCCUGACCAGGAUGAUGCUGAAAGUUUACCUGCUCUGAGACAGGAUCCAGACAUUUGAUAGUAAAUUACCCCAAAAUAAUUGCCCUAAAAAAUGGUUCCAUUUGAUGACUUUUUGUUAAAAUCAGAUUUUUUUUUUAUUAACUCAAUUCAGAAAUGUUAAAUGUCCUGACAGUCUUGCUAAUGAAAA